AAACCUCUCAGACUGAAAGUAGGGUUUUAGCAUUAACCCUCGCAGGCAACGAAGCAAGACUCGAGUUCUUUCAGAUUCUAUCAUUUCUUCUGAGUAACGAUGGCCUCAAUUGGCGCUAGAUCCGUUUUCCGAUCACUUUCCGGCUCUGCUCGCCGUGCUGCUGCUCACAUUGGUUCUCAAGCCCGUUCAUCGUCAGGCUCUCCCUUUCGAAUGGCAACUAACAAGCCCCUCUCUCAUCGAACUUUCAGGUGUGCGGCUGAGAUGAGCUUCUGUUUGGAGUCGAUAAUGCCGUUUCACUCUGCGUCGUCCGCAGCUUUGAUGAUUUCAAUGCUCUCUAUCUCACGCCGCAGCUGCGGUUGGCUUCCCGAAGGCAAAGACGAGACUAGAUGAGGAUCGGGAAGCAGGAAGGAAUGACUUGAGUUGUUUUUUGAGUUUCACCUUUUAAGUCCUAGGCGUUGCAUACCCCCCUGCCCCGCCCUUCAGACAAAAAAGAAUAAAAAAACCAUAGGCGAUGAUAUCAUCAAUAGGGCGGUGAUAUUCAAUCAGCUUGUCUAACAUGAAGGCUUGCCACAAUGUUGAACUUGCCAUUUUCAUCACCUGUCUGUACCUCAAGCUGUCUUAAUCUAUCUGAGCUGUAACAGAAUCUUUCCAUAUCCCAUCUUUUCCCAGACGUUCUAAAUUCUGUUUCCUGGCUUUUCAUAGGACAUGAUUCAAUAUAGAUAGAUCGUCUGCAACACUCCCUAUUACAUCUUCUUUUGAUAUAAUACUCAAAAUCAGAAUCUAGAUGUGAGAACAGCAUCCGGUUAGUGAUUUGUCAAGUUUACUCAUUAGACCAAAUUUUGUUUCUCUGUUUU